UAGCAUUUGAGACUAAUUGAGCUAUCUAUAUCUUAUCCUUGUGCCAAAGGCUUGUGAUGUGUUGUGAUAGUUGGGUAUAAGAAGUACAGUAUUAAAAGCCAUAAGUCUGUUAAUCCUGGUGUGUAAAGAUACACCCUGAGUUAUAAUUCAAAGUUACAACU